AAAAUGGUCAAAAAAUGUCAUAGUAUAGUAAGGCAUGAAAAAACUUCAAAAAAUGUCAUAAUAUAGUAAUGCGUCAAAAUUGGUCAAAAAAUGUCAUAGUAUAGUAAGGCAUGAAAAAACUUGAAAAAAUGUCAUAGUAUAGUAAGGUGUCAAAAUUGGUCAAAAAAUGUCAUAGUAUAGUAAGGUGUCAAAAAUGGUCAAAAAAUGUCAUAGUAUAGUAAGGUGUCAAAAUUGGUCAAAAAAUGUCAUAGUAUAGUAAGGUGUCAAAAUUGGUCAAAAAAUGUCAUAGUAUAGUAAGGUGUCAAAAAACUUCAAAAAAUGUCAUAAUAUAGUAAUGCGUCAAAAUUGGUCAAAAAAUGUCAUAGUAUAGUAAGGUGUCAAAAUUGGUCAAAAAAUGUCAUAGUAUAGUAAUGCGUCAAAACUGGUCAAAAAAUGUCAUAGUAUAGUAAGGUGUCAAAAUUGGUCAAAAAAUGUCAUAGUAUAGUAAGGUGUCAAAAUUGGUCAAAAAAUGUCAUAGUAUAGUAAGGUGUCAAAAUUGGUCAAAAAAUGUCAUAGUAUAGUAAGGCAUGAAAAAACUUCAAAAAAU